GACGUAGGGCGCGAGCGUUGUCCGGAUUUAUUGGGCGUAAAGAGCUCGUAGGCGGCUUGUUGCGUCGACCGUGAAAACCCGUGGCUUAACUGCGGGCUUGCGGUCGAUACGGGCGGGCUGGAGUUCGGUAGGGGAGACUGGAAUUCCUGGUGUAGCGGUGAAAUGUGUAGAGAUCGGGAGGAACACCGGUGGCGAAGGCGGGUCUCUGGGCAAUUCCUGACGCUGAGGCGCGAAAGCGUGGGGAGCAAACGGG
rnacentral:rRNA from 1 species